CACAGACCGACACUGUUGCAUGCAUGCAGCAUACAGAUGCCAGCUGUCCCAGUGAUAAUGUUGAAAUGCUUCUGCCUCUUGGCUCACCUCAGACUUCUGAUCAUGGCCUAGUCCUGACAAUUACAAUUCUGUACCUAUGGUGUAGCCUUGUUCCAAGAUGAAUAGAGCACAUUUUGUUAUUGAAAACCAAAGUGUCUUAUAUCCAUGAUAUAAAAUACGAUGACAAAAUGGGAGGUUGAAGUCACAAGAGAGUUGGACAAAGAGAGCUGUCAUUUUCAUAACUACAUGACAGAUGGAGGCCACGCUGGGGACUCUCCGAAAGUUUAAUCUAUAGCAGCAACAAGCCCUAGAAGAGCACUAUGAGAUGCUGACAGUUUUGCCCACUGCCUAACAAGAUAACAGAUGACAAUAAAAAGAAAGCAGUUGCCCACAGGAAGCCCUGAAAAGCUGGGAGAUAGAACUUUUGGUUGGCUACCCAGAGACAGCAACAGCAAACAAGGGACAGAAACCGGAAUUGUUUCCUGCUCUUAUUGGGUUUAGAUCUACCAUUACUGGUUUUCAAUAAUGUUGUUGUUGCUACUCCUAUACUGAUCUUUCCAGUAAAUGGAAUAACUGGGAA